rnacentral:rRNA from 1 species
CGGACGGGUGAGUAAUGUCUGGGAAACUGCCUGAUGGAGGGGGGUAACUACUGGAAACGGUAGCUAAUACCGCAUAACGUCGCAAGACCAAAGAGGGGGACCUUAGGGCCUCUUGCCAUCGGAUGUGCCCAGAUGGGAUUAGCUAGUAGGUGGGGUAACGGCUCACCUAGGCGACGAUCCCUAGCUGGUCUGAGAGGAUGACCAGCCAUACUGGAACUGAGACACGGUCCAG